CUCCGACUCUUCCCCCGCCCAGGCAGCCGGACUCCCUCGCCUCCCUCGCCUCCCUCGCCGCGUUCAACUCCCCCCUUGGCCGCGCUCGCCCGUGUCUGUCCGUGACCUCCCUGGCACGAGCCAGCUCUUUUCCUCCAUGCGGGACGCCGCCGUCCGGCCCGGCGUUGUCACGCCCGGCAUACUCGUCAUGGGGCUCUGCCAAGCCGGCCGCGCUCAGGGCGCUCGACGGAAUGCCCGGCCCAAACUCUGCCGUUCGCCCGGCUCGGAUGUCGUCAUUCAUGCUGAACAAGGUCGUGGAUGGGAUGUGUGAGAGCGGGAGGACUCAGGCGGCCGUUGCGUUCACGGAGGAGGACUGCUGCUUGGCUGAUGUUGCGGCCGACGGAUCCUGCCGUGCGGGUAAUGAGACUGCUGCUUGGCUUUCCAGGCGGCGGAGAGGAUGGAGAAGGAGAGCUCUCCUCCACAAUAGGAAUGUGGUUUUGUUCCAUGAGGUGGUGGAUGAAGGGCACUCACCAGAUGCAGUCAUGUAUUUUUCCAUGAUAUAGGGAUUCUUUAGCAGGAGGAGUAGGUGCAAAGUAGGAGAUUUCUCAACUGUGGAUGAGUUAUUGGGGAAGAUGAUGGAUAUUGCAAAGUUGGUAAAAUGAUGAGGCAUUGAUGAUUUUCUGGUCCAUGGAUGAAUCCGCAAAUGCAGAGAGUAGCAUACGAUGGACGUAAUUUUCUGUUGCAUCGAAAAGCAAGUUAACUCGGCGUAUGCAGUAGCAACUACCAACCAUUCAUACUGGAGCAAAGGUCCAAGUAUAGAUUGGACAAGAAGCAGGGUGAUGCCCUUUUUUUCUGCCAACGCUGGAAGUGAGGUCCAUAACAAAGAUGCAAGCAGUCUAUCUAAAGCAAUUGCAUCUACAGGUCCAUCACACCAAACCGUCGGAAAGAUUCUAUAAAGUUCAAAUUUACCAUGCAUGUUGAGUGAACAGGUGCAGAAUUGGACAAACAUAAAUAUAGCUAGUGAAUGGUACAUGUCUUAAAAGGAAAGGAGACCUCAUCCUCAUCCUGGUCGGCGAGGAUCUUGGAGCAGUUGAAGCAGACGCAGCGCAUGAUGGAGAGCACGGUCUUGAUGAAGCCGAUGUGGAACAUGGGCUUUGCGAGCUCGAGGUGGCCGAAGUGGCCCGGGCACUCGGCAUCCCGGCCAUGCAUGUCUCGCACUUGGUCCUGCGGUCAAUGGUGCCCAGGCGAGGGUCGCUCAGACCACCAGGCUUGGGCUUCCCCUUCUCCAUGGUCUCUGCAUGCUCUAUCACCGCCACCGACAUUUGUCUCUGCAAACAAGCAAAGCAACACAGAAUCUGUCAAAUUCGAUUCAUCCUAAAAUUUGUGAUACCUACACAUUACUGACCACCUGCCAUCAUUACAAUGGUCAAUGUUCAUUUAAACCCAGCCAUUAAAUUGUUAAACCCUGCCAAAUCCAUCUUAUUACACGUACUUCUGCAAGUAGCACCAGACGUGUGUACUUUUAUUCAAACUUGUAUUGAUCAUGGCCCAAUCAAAGUGCUGGCAUACUGUAGUAAAAUCAUGUGUAUCAGCAGUUGUUAUACCCAAAACUGUGCAAACUGCCAAGCUCAGAGUUAUCCAAAUAACUUACAGCAGUUAAUAAGAGCAUUUAUUAGCAUU